rnacentral:rRNA from 1 species
GACAGAGGAUGCAAGCGUUAUCCGGAAUGAUUGGGCGUAAAGCGUCUGUAGGUGGCUUUUCAAGUCCGCCGUCAAAUCCCAGGGCUCAACCCUGGACAGGCGGUGGAAACUACCAAGCUGGAGUACGGUAGGGGCAGGAGGGAAUUUCCGGGUGGAGCGGUGAAAUGCGUAGAGAUCGGAAAGAACACCAAUGGCGAAAGCACUCUGCUGGGCCGACACUGACGCUGAUGCGCGAAAGCCAGGGGAGCGAACGGG